AAGCUUUUGACCUAGAGCUGAGGCUUCUGGAGUACUCCACUGGCUAAAGCAGAUCACAGGGCCAACCUGUGACUCAAUGCCUGAGGCAGCUGCAAAAGAGCAUGACUCUGAGACGAGAUUGUUAACUGAGAUGUUGAGCCUCUGUGUAAGAAGUCUGGCUGUCACAGUUGAGAAACCACCCUUCAGAAUGAUACGAGAGUCCAUGCAGAGAGGGAAAGGUUCUGAGACUGAUAUGAAGAGAAAAAGAGGUCAGCCAAUCCAACACCCCAGCUAAGAUUCCACCCACCACCCCUAGCCAGCAGAAUCCCAAAGAGAUCGGAAUAAAAACUGUCUGCCUGAGAUGGGUCAACCAUAACCAUACUGAUUACCACAGAAAAUAAAAAAAUAAAAAACCAG
rnacentral:lncRNA from 1 species